rnacentral:rRNA from 1 species
CCUACGGGUGGCAGCAGUGGGGGAUAUUGCACAAUGGGGGAAACCCUGAUGCAGCGACGCCGCGUGUGGGAAGACGGUCCUCUGGAUUGUAAACCACUGUCCCCAGGGACGAAAAUGACGGUACCUGGGGAGGAAGCUCCGGCUAACUACGUGCCAGCAGCCGCGGUAAUACGUAGGGAGUGAGCGUUGUCCGGAAUUGAUGGGUGUAAAGGGGGCGUAGGCGGGGAUGCAAGUCGUGUGUCAAAACUACCGGGUCAACUGGUAGGCGCACUCAAAACUGCAGCUCUUGAGUGAAGUAGAGGCAGGCGGAAUUCCUAGUGUAGCGGUGAAAUGCGUAGAUAUUAGGAGGAACACCAGUGGCGAAGGCGGCCUGCUGGGCUUUUACUGACGCUGAGGCUCGAAAGUGUGGGGAGCAAACAGGAUUAGAUACCCUAGUAGUC